GAAACAUCUCUCCCUCCCUCCCUAUUCAGUUCAUAUUCCUGGACUUCAAAAAGUGCUACUGGAGGGAGGAGAGAGCAGCAAAAAUCACUCCCACUCCCACUGCUCAGCAACACACUGACUGAGCUCUGAAGGAACCUCUGCAAAGCUGCAGCUCCUGCUCCACCCAGCCCAUGUAUAACACUAGAUGUUCCAAAAUGGAGAAGAUUGGCCCUUUUGCUGAGUAGUGAAAAGGGGAUAAAGUAUGAUUGUAUGCUCUCUUUCCAGAAUUCAGAGGGUCUUAUAUUGUUUAUGUUUUUAAUGUCUGUGCCAAAUUUUGCAGCUAAAAAGACCCAAUGUGACCACAAAAAAGCAUAUUAAAAACAGUUAAUGCAAAGCAACAAUCUGAAUAGCAACAAAUCUGAAAAGAUCUUAAGAUAUCAAUUGACCCUAAAAGUGUGGUAAAAUAACCCUGUGAGGAGGGCAGAAGAGAUAGAGCUAUACUCCUGAGGAGAGAAUUCUAGGGUCUGGACACUACAACAGAGAAGAACUUGCACCAUGUGCUCUCCAACCAAACCUCAGAAGGCAUUAGCAGCACACACAACAGAAGACCUUAAUGAGAAUCACGUGGGAAGGGUCCUUAAGAUAACCUGGGCCAAAACUAUUUAAGACUUUAAAGGUAAUGGCUAGCAGUUUGAAUUGUAUUAUUAAUUCGAUUUACAGUUUUUAACCUUCUGUUAAAUUUUAAAUUAUUUUAAUGUUUUCACGUUUUAAUUUUGUUUUAAUUUGUAUUUUAUUGUAAACUGCCCAGAGACGUACGUUUUGGGCCGUACAAAACAUGUUAAUAAAUAAAAAUCAAUAAAUUGUAGCAGAAAAGAAAAGGGAAGCA